GAUCUGCUUAUAUAUAAAAAAAACCGAAACAACAAUUUCUUAUAUAAUAAUAUAUGUUAUACAGUUAAUUGGUAGAUUUGUUAAUCGGCGCUUACCUAGGUACCUUGGUUUUCGCUUACAUAAUGAGAAAUUUACUUAAGGUCUAGCCACGACAGCAGAGUAGCUGGGUAAAUUAUUUUACUUAUUCUGGAAACUAGCCACAAACGUAGGGUAGUGCCUCAAAGCGAUCAUGCGUUAAUGCUAUAAUGCUAUUAGCGAAACUAAAACAUUGGUAGUAAGCCAUGCAGUGAAACUAGCUAUGAAGGCAUUGCACGGCAACAAGACUACAGCAAAGCAAUGGGGAAUAAUACUAUAUCUAAAUUGCCUGUAUAGUUACUCGGACAAGUAACUAUGUGUGAUGUACCCACGAUGUAGCAACCGAACUGCCUGGUGGAUGUCUGGACCUGUCUGGUAGGUACGACUGCCGGGGUACUGGAUAGCUAGGGCUGGAAGGGUACUUCGUAACCAUAUACUAAGGCACCACCUGCGGGGAGGCCACUGGUUGGCCAGCAACAAGGAAAACAUAUGUGAACAAAACCAAUAAAACUACCCUAAUCCAAUCAUUUGCAACCCACUAUCUACUCUCACUCUCCCCUCUUGGGAAUGACCUUAAAGAUGAUAAGUUCAGCAUAAUAAAAUAAACCUGUAACAAAACUGGCCAAUAAAGUCUAGAUAGCAGAA